UUAUUGACGGAAUGAGCUGUGGCCUUGCUGUAUUUCAGGGGAAGAAAUUGAGAUCACAUUCAGUUACUGGGAUGGAUCUGGACAUCGGCGAACAGUGAAGAUGAAAAAGGGAAACACGAUACAGCAGUUCCUGCAGAAAGGGCUGGAGAUCCUGCGGAAAGAUUUCAGCGAGUUGAGGUCUGCUGGAGUCGAACAGCUUAUGUACAUCAAAGAGGAUCUCAUCAUUCCUCAUCAUCACACCUUCUACGACUUCAUCGUGACCAAGGCCCGGGGGAAAAGCGGUGAGU